rnacentral:rRNA from 1 species
GCAGUGGGGAAUAUUGCACAAUGGGCGAAAGCCUGAUGCAGCGACGCCGCGUGAGUGAUGAAGGCCUUCGGGUUGUAAAGCUCUGUGGGGGGAGAAGAAAACAGUUAGGGCGAAUAGGCCUAGCUCUUGACGGUACCCCUUUAGAAAGCACCGGCUAACUCUGUGCCAGCAGCCGCGGUAAUACAGAGGGUGCAAGCGUUGUUCGGAAUUACUGGGCGUAAAGCGCGCGCAGGCGGAUCCUGCAAGUCCGGAGUGAAAUCUCACCGCUCAACGGUGAGGCUGCUUUGGAUACUGCGGAUCUGGAGACCGGUAGAGGCUGGUAGAAUUGCAGGUGUAGCGGUGGAAUGCGUAGAGAUCUGCAAGAAUACCCGUGGCGAAGGCGGCCAGCUGGGCCGGUUCUGACGCUGAGGCGCGAAAGCGUGGGGAGCAAACAGGAUUAGAUACCCUGGUAG